CCAUGCUGCCUUCCCUCUAUGCGUGCCUAUUACUGUGUGCACAUUCCCCCUUUAACAAAUAAGGACACCGGCCUCGCCGCUUCCCCUCGUCGGAGUGGCUGCUCGUCUGCCCGGCUGGAGGCCCGCGCGGAACGCAGCACAGUCCGUCUGCCCGCGGGGCGGGGGGGCGAGGGGGCCUCCCGGCAUCUUCGAGGCGACCAAGGACUACCAGGAAGGGGAGCGGCUGGGAUGGCGCGUCCGUGGCCUCGCGAGUACAAAGCGGGCAACGAGGUCUUCGCCAAGAUGACGAGCUACCCGCACUGGUCGGCCCGGAUCGAUGAACUCCCAGAGGGAGCUGUGAACCUCCAGCAAACAAGUAUCCUAUUUUCUUUUUUGGCACCCAUGAAACUGCAUUUCUAGGUCCCAAAGACCUUUUUCCAUAUAAAUAGUACAAAGACAAGUUUGGAAAGUCAGACAAACCGAAAGGAUUUAACCAAGGAUUGUGGGAAAUAGAAAAUAACCCAGGAGUAAAGUUUACUGGAUACCAGGCAGUUCAGCAACAGAGCUCUUCAGAAACUGAGGGAGAAGGUGGAAAUACUGCAUGCAGAUGCAAGCAGUGAGGAAGAAGGUGAUAGAGUAGAAGAAGAUAGAAAAGGCAAAAGAAAGAAUGAAAAAGCAGGCUCAAAACGGAAAAAGUCAUAUACUUCAAAGAAAUCCUCUAAACAGUCCCGGAAAUCUCCAGGAGAUGAAGAUGACAAAGACCGCAAAGAGGAGGAAAACAAAAGCAGCUCUGAGGGUGGAGAUGCGGGCGGUGACACAAGAAACACAACUUCAGACUUGCAGAAAACCAGUGAAGGGACCUAACUACCAUAAUGAAUGCUGCAUAUUAAGAGAAACCACAAGAAGGUUGUAUGUUUGGUUGUCUAAUAUUCUUGGAUUGAUAAGAACCAACAUACAGUCCUCGUUGUCAUUGACAGACCCCAGUUUGUAUGUGCAUUAUUCAUAUUCUUCUCUGUUGCGUUUUGGGGGGAAAAGACAUUUUAGCCUUUUUUAAAAGUUACAGAUUUAAUUUCAUGUUAUUUGGUUGCAUGAAGUUGCCCUUAACCACUAAGGAUUAUCAAGAUUUUUGCGCAGACUUAUACAUGUCUAAGAUCCUUUUAUCAAGGCAGUUAUGAUCAUCAUUUUCCUCCCUUUACCCCACCAUCACCAAACACUCAGUUAAAUAUAAAUUAACAUUUUUAGGUGACCACUCAACAUAAUGCUUAAGAAUGGAAUUUCCUCUCUGUGACAGAACCCAGGAACUAAAUCCUAAAUACAUAAUGUUGGUAUACUGAAGACGAAAUUAAAAUUGUCCUUCAAUUUUGAGGCCAUGUGUAAAGUUUAACCAUAUUGUAAAAUACCUAUUCUGUAUUAGAAAUAGCUAGUUGACAGCUUAUACUUCUCAAAAUUCAUAUUGUUAUGUACACAAACUAAGUUUCUAUAUGUGAAGUUAGUGAGUCUUUUUGUGUUACUCCAAAAUAAAGGCAAUGAUUUAUUUUUUCCCAGUGCCAAUACAAUUUUGAGCUAAGCACUCAAGGUGGGUACUUUACAUUUUAAAGCUAGGAACAGCAACAGCCCUAUGGGAAACCAGGCAAAGCACUGACUUUUAAAUGCAGACUUUUAAAAUAAACUGUUUUCUUUUGAAACUACAAUUAGAAUAGUUAAUAUUCAUCCACAAACCAUUAUUAUGUGUACAUUAUUGUUGCUAUUGUGAAAUAGAGAAUUUUAUUUAUUUUUAUGCCAGCUUAUAUUGUGAGAACACAUUUAGUCAGUUUGAUUUUUAUUAAUCUUGUUAAUGCUUGUCCUUGGAAUAUCUUUCACGUAUUCAAGGUUUGUAGUUGAAAAGUUUACUGUAAAAAAAAUCAAAAACAAAAAAUGUAUUGUUUUUACAGAAUAAAUUUAUUGGAAUGUGUACUGGGAGUAAGAUUUGAGGUUGUAAGCAAACUAAGUUAGUGUAAUUUAGCUUCAUAUAUGUAAUGUGAGGUAUUAAUGCAAUUUAUAUAUUAAAGCAAAAAUGUUCACAGCAAAAAAAAAAAAAAAAAACAAGGACACCAACCUGAGUGGAGUAGGGCCCAUCCUAAUGUUUUCAUUUUAGCUUGAUUAUAUCCGUAAAGACCCUGUUACUAAAUAAGCUCACAUUCUGAGGAACUGGGAGUUAGAACCUAAAACAUACCUAUUUUGAAGGGGACACAGUUUAUCCCGUAACAGAAAGUAAUUUAAAUAUCCCAUGGAUCAGAUAUAUUUAAACACAAAUCACUCGAGGAUAAGCUUUCAUCUCCUUGCACUGUAGUCUAGAUUCUUAGUCAUGUUGAUGCCAAGAAACCAGCUAAUUAAAACAUUUUCAUAUUCAAGGCCUGAUCUUUAUAACAACACAUUCUGUUUGUGUGGGCUGUUUAUUCAACAUGUGCUUCUUGUUCCUGCACACAUCUAAAUAAUUUAGAAUUUAACUUUUACCAGGAUAUUCUUGUUAAAACCUUGGUAAUUUGCAUGUGUUAUCUUCAACUCUGAAAUUAUUCUGGAAAUUUACGUAAAUUUAAAACCUUGUAUUACUAGCUCAUUUGCAGAUCUGUGCUAUGUACAUGCAGUAUGUCUCUUUUCAUGUACAUUGCCUAAAUAAAAGCAGCUGAGAAACAACA